rnacentral:lncRNA from 1 species
GUGACAACCCGAGAAAUUAGAAAAUUAUUAAAAUCUUAAAUGAUUGGUUUAAGGUCAAAUAAUAGACCUAGACAGAAAAUAAGUGCAUGUGUUUGAUGUUUUCAGAAAGGAAAUUUGAGGAUUUAAAAUUUCUUUUAGUGAAUUAUUCAGGAUUAAGGGUAUGUGUGUAUAUAUUCUGUGAUUACGGUAUUUUGUGUACAGAAUGUGGUUAAGGGUCAAGUGUUGACCAGAUAAAUUAUAUCUGUGUCAAACCCUAAUAUUAUUAGAACGUCAACGUUCAUUUAUAAAAUUAUUACGUUUGACAAGAAACCCUAGAUAUCGGUUCUGGAAACCCUAAUUUUAAUACCGGGAAUCCGAAACCCUAAUUUCAAAUUAUCGAACUUAAACUUUUCCGUCAGGAACCCUGAUGACGGAUUUGAAAACCCUAAUU